UUAAAAAGGAUUUUAUAUAGAAAUUUUCUCGAAUUUAAAAGAGUUAAAAAAGUAUUUAUUUUAGUGUUAAAUAAUUAUUUUGAAUACUUUUUUUGUGGUGAUAUGUUAGUCGGUUUUAAAGAUAUCUAGUUUCUUAAGAAAUAAAUUUAAUUUAAUGGGAUUUUAUAGUUGUUAAAAUUUUUUGUUUAGUUAAAAAUCUUGUUAAUAUUUACAGGGAUAAGCUUGUAAAUUUAUUAUUAUAAUAAAAGUGGUUAUAAAAAAUAAAUAGGAUUAGAAGUGUUCAUUUUUGAAAUUAUGUAAUAGUAUAUUUUUUGUAAGUUUGAUUUUUUUUUAUAUUUAGUUAAUUUAUUAAGAUAAGGGAUUUAGUAUUGAAAUUGCUGAAAUAAUGGUUAAAUUAGUAUAUUUAAAUGUAAGAUAAUUUUUGUUUAAAAGUUAUUUAAAGGAAUUCGGCAAAUUUGGUUUCUGCCUGUUUAUUAAAAACAUGUCCUUUUGAUAAUAAUUUAAGGUCUAGCCUGCCCAAUGAUGAAUUUAAUGGCCGCGGUAUACUGACCGUGCGAAGGUAGCAUAAUCAUUAGUUUUUUAAUUGAAAGCUGGAAUGAACGGCUGGACAAGAAACCUACUGUCUCUAUUUAAUAUUUAGAAUUUUAUCUUUGAGUUAAAAAGCUUAAGUUUUUUUGAGGGACGAGAAGACCCUAUAGAAUUUUAUUUUUUUAUUAAGAAAUUAAAGAUUUUGGUAAGAUUGAGUUUAAUUGUUAUAGAAAAUUUUGUUGGGGUGAUGAAAAAAUUUAUAAAACUUUUUUUUUUAUUUUACACUUAUAAGUGAUUUUUUGAUCCAUUAAUAAUGAUUACAAGAAUAAAUUACCUUAGGGAUAACAGCGUAAUUAAUUUGGAGAGUUCUUAUCAAUAAAUUAGUUUGCGACCUCGAUGUUGGAUUAAAAUGAACUUUUGGUGGAGAUGCUAGAAAGUUAAGUCUGUUCGACUUUUAGAAUUUU
rnacentral:rRNA from 1 species